AUACUUUUCUUGACCUUUUGGCUAAGAUAAAGUGUAAUAUUUCUCCUUAUCAGUUUAAUAUUUAAUAUGUUGAUUAUUGGCUUAUAAGAUAUUAAUUUACUUUUUUAAAGGGGAAAUGCAUGGGCUUGGCACACCCUUU
rfam:Lupinus angustifolius cultivar Tanjil chromosome LG19, whole genome shotgun sequence.